rnacentral:rRNA from 1 species
UUCUACAGGCUUAACACAUGCAAGUCGAGGGGCAGCAUUUUAGUUUGCUUGCAAACUGAAGAUGGCGACCGGCGCACGGGUGAGUAACACGUAUCCAACCUGCCGAUAACUCCGGAAUAGCCUUUCGAAAGAAAGAUUAAUACCGGAUAGCAUACGAAUAUCGCAUGAUAUUUUUAUUAAAGAAUUUCGGUUAUCGAUGGGGAUGCGUUCCAUUAGUUUGUUGGCGGGGUAACGGCCCACCAAGACAACGAUGGAUAGGGGUUCUGAGAGGAAGGUCCCCCACAUUGGAACUGAGACACGGUCCAAACUCCUACGGGAGGCAGCAGUGAGGAAUAUUGGUCAAUGGGCGAGAGCCUGAACCAGCCAAGUAGCGUGAAGGAUGAAGGCUCUAUGGGUCGUAAACUUCUUUUAUAUGGGAAUAAAGUUUUCCACGUGUGGAAUUUUGUAUGUACCAUAUGAAUAAGGAUCGGCUAACUCCGUGCCAGCAGCCGCGGUAAUACGGAGGAUCCGAGCGUUAUCCGGAUUUAUUGGGUUUAAAGGGAGCGUAGGUGGAUUGUUAAGUCAGUUGUGAAAGUUUGCGGCUCAACCGUAAAAUUGCAGUUGAAACUGGCAGUCUUGAGUACAGUAGAGGUGGGCGGAAUUCGUGGUGUAGCGGUGAAAUGCUUAGAUAUCACGAAGAACUCCGAUUGCGAAGGCAGCUCACUAGACUGUCACUGACACUGAUGCUCGAAAGUGUGGGUAUCAAACAGGAUUAGAUACCCUGGUAGUCCACACAGUAAACGAUGAAUACUCGCUGUUUGCGAUAUACAGUAAGCGGCCAAGCGAAAGCAUUAAGUAUUCCACCUGGGGAGUACGCCGGCAACGGUGAAACUCAAAGGAAUUGACGGGGGCCCGCACAAGCGGAGGAACAUGUGGUUUAAUUCGAUGAUACGCGAGGAACCUUACCCGGGCUUAAAUUGCAACAGAAUAUAUUGGAAACAGUAUAGCCGUAAGGCUGUUGUGAAGGUGCUACAUGGUUGUCGUCAGCUCGUGCCGUGAGGUGUCGGCUUAAGUGCCAUAACGAGCGCAACCCUUAUCUUUAGUUACUAACAGGUGAUGCUGAGGACUCUAGAGAGACUGCCGUCGUAAGAUGUGAGGAAGGUGGGGAUGACGUCAAAUCAGCACGGCCCUUACGUCCGGGGCUACACACGUGUUACAAUGGGGGGUACAGAAGGCGGCUACCUGGUGACAGGAUGCUAAUCCCAAAAACCUCUCUCAGUUCGGAUCGAAGUCUGCAACCCGACUUCGUGAAGCUGGAUUCGCUAGUAAUCGCGCAUCAGCCAUGGCGCGGUGAAUACGUUCCCGGGCCUUGUACACACCGCCCGUCAAGCCAUGAAAGCCGGGGGUACCUGAAGUACGUAACCGCAAGGAGCGUCCUAGGGUAAAACUGGUAAUUGGGGC